rnacentral:lncRNA from 1 species
AAGUUUUUUUUUUCUUUUCAUUUUUUACUUAGGUACUAUCACUCCUAGGAUUCUCUUGGAUCAACCCCUGUCUCUCAUCUCCAGAUAUUGGAUAUAUUUGCCUAUGGGAUAUGGCAGAACAUUUUAUUCUUAAAAAAAGUAUAACUGAUAUGAGUGAUAUUGACUGUCUUGGAAUCCAGAAUGUCAUGGAACAGACAUUUGAUCAACUGAUCAGUAAGUAAGUAAUUAAAAUGGAGAAGAGUUUGGAUACUUAUGUUCUGGGGAUAAUGAGGCAGGGAUUUAUAC